GGGCCACCCGGUGACCUUCGGAGAAGGAAGUUGGUGGAUCCUCUUGCUUCCCUGGAAAGGCAGCUGGGCGCGGGGUAGGGUGUGCGGAGCGCGGUUCUGCCGCUCUCGGCCAUGGCGGGGCAGAUGGAAGCCGCAGAUUUCCGCUCGCAAGCCCGGGACUAGGGCCGGGACCGCAGGCACCUUCCGGGCCGGGAGUUCAAGGUGAGCCGGCAGCUGGCGACUAACAGCUCCGGCUGCUCCAGAGUCAGCGCUCCUCCGCCUGGGCCGCGCGCCUGCUCCGCUUUCCUCGCGAGCCGAGAAAUCCCAGCGCUGGGGCGGACGUGCGCCCCUCGCUCCGCUCCGCUCCCGCCCGCCUCUGCCCGCCUCCUCCAGCCGGCCGGGCACCGGGAGCCGGGCGCCAGGGCCGCCCCGCCGAGCCGAGCUUGCAGCCCCGACCGCUUCCCGAAAGCAGGAGGGAAGAACCGCAGCACCCGCCCGCCCGCGCCUCCCAUCCGGCGCUUUGCCAGCAACAAACACAAACUUUCCCAAGCCCCUCCCCGCUCCAGGUAACGGAGGCAGCGCCGGGACCACCCGCUUAAAGGGGAGGAGGCGUCGCAGCCCACCCAGCUCUCCCCCC